rnacentral:rRNA from 1 species
UCUUCGGAGAGUUUGAUCCUGGCUCAGGAUGAACGCUGGCGGCGUGCCUAAUACAUGCAAGUCGAGCGAACUGAUUAGAAGCUUGCUUCUAUGACGUUAGCGGCGGACGGGUGAGUAACACGUGGGCAACCUGCCUGUAAGACUGGGAUAACUUC